AGAGUUUGAUUAUGGCUCAGAACGAACGCUGGCGGCAGGCCUAACACAUGCAAGUCGAGCGCGCCCUUCGGGGUGAGCGGCGGACGGGUUAGUAACGCGUGGGAACGUACCCUUUGGUAGGGAAUAGCCACUGGAAACGGUGAGUAAUACCCUAUGAGCCCUUCGGGGGAAAGAUUUUAUCGCCAAAGGAUCGGCCCGCGUUAGAUUAGGUAGUUGGUGGGGUAAUGGCCUACCAAGCCUACGAUCUAUAGCUGGUUUUUAGAGGAUGAUCAGCAACACUGGGACUGAGACACGGCCCAGACUCCUACGGGAGGCAGCAGUGGGGAAUCUUGGACAAUGGGGGCAACCCUGAUCCAAGCCAUGCCGCGUGAGUGAAGAAGGCCUUAGGGUCGUAAAGCUCUUUCGCCUGUGAAGAUAAUGACGGUAGCAGGUAAAGAAACCCCGGCUAACUCCGUGCCAGCAGCUGC
rnacentral:rRNA from 1 species